rnacentral:rRNA from 1 species
GUCCAGACUCCUACGGGAGGCAGCAGUGGGGAAUAUUGGGCAAUGGGCGCAAGCCUGACCCAGCAACGCCGCGUGAAGGAAGAAGGCUCUCGGGUUGUAAACUUCUUUUAUCAGGGACGAAGCAAGUGACGGUACCUGAUGAAUAAGCCCCGGCUAACUACGUGCCAGCAGCCGCGGUAAUACGUAGGGGGCAAGCGUUAUCCGGAUUCACUGGGUGUAAAGGGAGCGUAGACGGCGACGCAAGCCAGGAGUGAAAGCCCGGGGCCCAACCCCGGGACUGCUCUUGGAACUGCGCGGCUGGAGUGCAGGAGGGGCAGGCGGAAUUCCUGGUGUAGCGGUGAAAUGCGUAGAUAUCAGGCGGAACACCGGUGGCGAAGGCGGCCUGCUGGACUGCGACUGACGUUGAGGCCCGAAAGCGUGGGGAGCAAACAGGAUUAGAUACCCGCGUAA